GCCUCAGUUUGGGGAUCCUUUCUCAGGAUCAGAGGGCUGGAAACAGAGCCCCUUAUAAAAUGAAUACUACCAGGACUAAUGUUAUCCCAGUCAGAGAGUAAUGACCAGGACUAACUUCAGGUGGGCAGGGCGUUCUCAGCUGAGCCCUCUUUGCAGGAGUGGAGGGGAAAGCCGGCAUGGCGGCCAUUGCAGACCCCCACAACCAGCUGGACCCUAACUCAAUGUACCAGGAAUUGCAGAAGGUUCUUGCAUCCUAUGCCCAGCCCAUCUUCCUGCGUCUUCUGCCCCAAGUGGAUACAACAGGCACCUUCAAGAUCCAGAAGACCCGGCUACAGCGUGAAGGCUUUGACCCCCGCCAGACCUCAGACCGGCUCUUCUUUCUAGACCUGAAACAGGGACGC
rnacentral:lncRNA from 1 species